GAGCGUUCUGUAAGCCGUUGAAGGUGAAUCGUAAGGUUUGCUGGAGGUAUCAGAAGUGCGAAUGCUGACAUGAGUAACGACAAAGGGGGUGAAAAACCUCCUCGCCGGAAGACCAAGGGUUCCUGUCCAACGUUAAUCGGGGCAGGGUGAGUCGACCCCUAAGGUGAGGCCGAAAGGCGUAAUCGAUGGGAAACGGGUUAAUAUUCCCGUACUUCUGACUAUUGCGAUGGGGGGACGGAGAAGGCUAGGUGGGCCAGGCGACGGUUGUCCUGGUUCAAGUGCGUAGGCUUGAGAGUUAGGUAAAUCCGGCUCUCUCUAAGGCUGAGACACGACGUCGAGCUGCUACGGCAGUGAAGUCAUUGAUGCCAUGCUUCCAGGAAAAGCCUCUAAGCUUCAGAUAGUCAGGAAUCGUACCCCAAACCGACACAGGUGGUCGGGUAGAGAAUACCAAGGCGCUUGAGAGAACUCGGGUGAAGGAACUAGGCAAAAUGGUACCGUAACUUCGGGAGAAGGUACGCUCUUGAUGGUGAAGUCCCUCGCGGAUGGAGCUGACGAGAGUCGCAGAUACCAGGUGGCUGCAACUGUUUAUUAAAAACACAGCACUGUGCAAAAUCGCAAGAUGACGUAUACGGUGUGACGCCUGCCCGGUGCCGGAAGGUUAAUUGAUGGGGUUAGCGCAAGCGAAGCUCUUGAUCGAAGCCCCGGUAAACGGCGGCCGUAACUAUAACGGUCCUAAGGUAGCGAAAUUCCUUGUCGGGUAAGUUCCGACCUGCACGAAUGGCGUAAUGAUGGCCACGCUGUCUCCACCCGAGACUCAGUGAAAUUGAAAUCGCUGUGAAGAUGCAGUGUACCCGCGGCUAGACGGAAAGACCCCGUGAACCUUUACUACAGCUUGGCACUGAACAUUGAACCUACAUGUGUAGGAUAGGUGGGAGGCUAUGAAGACGUGACGCCAGUUGCGUUGGAGCCGUCCUUGAAAUACCACCCUUGUAUGUUUGAUGUUCUAACUUAGACCCGUUAUCCGGGUUGAGGACAGUGCCUGGUGGGUAGUUUGACUGGGGCGGUCUCCUCCCAAAGAGUAACGGAGGAGCACGAAGGUGGGCUAAUCACGGUUGGACAUCGUGAGGUUAGUGCAAUGGCAUAAGCCCGCUUAACUGCGAGAAUGACGGUUCGAGCAGGUGCGAAAGCAGGUCAUAGUGAUCCGGUGGUUCUGUAUGGAAGGGCCAUCGCUCAACGGAUAAAAGGUACUCCGGGGAUAACAGGCUGAUACCGCCCAAGAGUUCAUAUCGACGGCGGUGUUUGGCACCUCGAUGUCGGCUCAUCACAUCCUGGGGCUGAAGUCGGUCCCAAGGGUAUGGCUGUUCGCCAUUUAAAGUGGUACGCGAGCUGGGUUUAGAACGUCGUGAGACAGUUCGGUCCCUAUCUGCCGUGGGCGUUGGAAGAUUGAAGGGGGCUGCUCCUAGUACGAGAGGACCGGAGUGGACGAACCUCUGGUGUUCGGGUUGUGUCGCCAGACGCAUUGCCCGGUAGCUAAGUUCGGAAUUGAUAAGCGCUGAAAGCAUCUAAGCGCGAAGCGAGC
rnacentral:rRNA from 1 species